AGGAUAAACGCUGGCGGCGUGCCUUACGCAUGCAAGUCGAACGGUGCCUUUCGGGGCACAGUGGCGGACGGGUGAGUAACACGUACGUGACCUGACGCGAAGCGGGGGAUACCCGUCCGAAAGGGCGGCUAAUACCGCAUGUGGAUCGUGGUGGCAUCACCGAGGAUCCAAAGCCUUCGGGCACUUCAGGAUGGGCCCGCGGCCUAUCAGCUAGUUGGAGGGGUAACGGCCCACCAAGGCUUCGACGGGUAGCUGGUCUGAGAGGACGAUCAGCCGGAUUGGGACUGAGAUACGGCCCAGACUCCUACGGGGGGCAGCAAUUAGGAAUCUUGCACAAUGGGCGAAAGCCUGAUGCAGCGACGUCGCGUGGGGACGAAAUCUUUCGGAUGUAAACCCCUUUGAGUGGGAAGAAACAAUGACGGUACCACUCGAAUAAGCCCCGGCUAACUACGUGCCAGCAGCCGC
rnacentral:rRNA from 1 species